rnacentral:rRNA from 1 species
AGGACGAACGCUGGCGGCGUGCUUAACACAUGCAAGUCGAGCGGUAAGGCCUUUCGGGGUACACGAGCGGCGAACGGGUGAGUAACACGUGGGUGAUCUGCCCUGCACUUCGGGAUAAGCCUGGGAAACUGGGUCUAAUACCGGAUAUGACCUCCUAUCGCAUGGUGGGUGGUAGGAAAGAUUUAUCGGUGCGAGGAUCGGGCCCGCGGCCUAUCGAGCUUUGGUUGGUGGGGUAAUCGGCCUACCAAGGCGACGACGGGUAGCCGACCUGAGAGGGUCGACCGGCCACACGUGGGACUGAGACACGGCCAGACUCCGUACGGGAGGCAGCAGGUAGGGAAUAUG